GCCUUCGUGGUGUAGUGGUUAGCACGCUCGACGCGUAACCGAAAAAUCUAUGGUUCGAUUCCCGGUGAAGGCG
rnacentral:tRNA from 1 species